AGAUUAAGUUAUUAAGGGCGCACGGUGGAUGCCUUGGCACUAGAAGCCGAUGAAGGACGUUACUAACGACGAUAUGCUUUGGGGAGCUGUAAGUAAGCUUUGAUCCAGAGAUUUCCGAAUGGGGAAACCCAGCAUGAGUUAUGUCAUGUUAUCGAUAUGUGAAUACAUAGCAUAUCAGAAGGCACACCCGGAGAACUGAAACAUCUUAGUACCCGGAGGAAGAGAAAGAAAAUUCGAUUCCCUUAGUAGCGGCGAGCGAAACGGGAAGAGCCCAAACCAACAAGCUUGCUUGUUGGGGUUGUAGGACACUCUAUACGGAGUUACAAAGGACGACAUUAGACGAAUCAUCUGGAAAGAUGAAUCAAAGAAGGUAAUAAUCCUGUAGUCGAAAAUGUUGUCUCUCUUGAGUGGAUCCUGAGUACGACGGAGCACGUGAAAUUCCGUCGGAAUCUGGGAGGACCAUCUCCUAAGGCUAAAUACUCUCUAGUGACCGAUAGUGAACCAGUACCGUGAGGGAAAGGUGAAAAGCACCCCGGAAGGAGAGUGAAAUAGAACCUGAAACCGUGUGCUUACAAGUAGUCAGAGCCCGUUAAUGGGUGAUGGCGUGCCUUUUGUAGAAUGAACCGGCGAGUUACGAUUUGAUGCAAGGUUAAGCAGUAAAUGUGGAGCCGUAGCGAAAGCGAGUCUGAAUAGGGCGUUUAGUAUUUGGUCGUAGACCCGAAACCAGGUGAUCUACCCUUGGUCAGGUUGAAGUUCAGGUAACACUGAAUGGAGGACUGAACCGACUUACGUUGAAAAGUGAGCGGAUGAACUGAGGGUAGCGGAGAAAUUCCAAUCGAACCUGGAGAUAGCUGGUUCUCUCCGAAAUAGCUUUAGGGCUAGCCUCAAGUGAUGAUUAUUGGAGGUAGAGCACUGUUUGGACGAGGGGCCCCUCUCGGGUUACCGAAUUCAGACAAACUCCGAAUGCCAAUUAAUUUAACUUGGGAGUCAGAACAUGGGUGAUAAGGUCCGUGUUCGAAAGGGAAACAGCCCAGACCACCAGCUAAGGUCCCAAAAUAUAUGUUAAGUGGAAAAGGAUGUGGCGUUGCCCAGACAACUAGGAUGUUGGCUUAGAAGCAGCCAUCAUUUAAAGAGUGCGUAAUAGCUCACUAGUCGAGUGACACUGCGCCGAAAAUGUACCGGGGCUAAACAUAUUACCGAAGCUGUGGAUUGUCCUUUGGACAAUGGUAGGAGAGCGUUCUAAGGGCGUUGAAGCAUGAUCGUAAGGACAUGUGGAGCGCUUAGAAGUGAGAAUGCCGGUGUGAGUAGCGAAAGACGGGUGAGAAUCCCGUCCACCGAUUGACUAAGGUUUCCAGAGGAAGGCUCGUCCGCUCUGGGUUAGUCGGGUCCUAAGCUGAGGCCGACAGGCGUAGGCGAUGGAUAACAGGUUGAUAUUCCUGUACCACCUAUAAUCGUUUUAAUCGAUGGGGGGACGCAGUAGGAUAGGCGAAGCGUGCGAUUGGAUUGCACGUCUAAGCAGUAAGGCUGAGUAUUAGGCAAAUCCGGUACUCGUUAAGGCUGAGCUGUGAUGGGGAGAAGACAUUG
rnacentral:rRNA from 1 species